UCUUCAUUUCACACACUCUCUCACCGGUCAGCGAGACGAGAGAGUGUGUGAAAUGAAGAGA
rfam:Pristionchus pacificus strain PS312 contig12669, whole genome shotgun sequence.